rnacentral:sRNA from 1 species
GGCCCUGAAACAUCUCACAGGAAGGGAGAUGGCUUUGCUGGAGUUGAAGGAUAUGGAGGCACUUUUUAUAACAAAGAUUAAGAGUUGUUUCAUGGACAGUGGAAAUUAAAUGAAGUCAUCAGUGCCACUAUAAGCAUCUUAAGGUUUCUUUACUGAGUUUUUUUUAAGCAAGGAAUACUCUUAUGCAGCAGCUUUUUUAUGAGAAUUAUGAGCAGAACAAAAAGGGGUACAUUAGAGAUCUCCAUAACAGUAAAAUUCACCAAGCUAUCACAUUACACCCCAACAAAAACCCACCCUACCAGUACAGGCUCCACAGCUACAUGCUGAGCCGCAAAAUAGCCGAGCUCCGCCAUCGCACAAUACAGCUGCACCGUGAAAUUGUCCUGAUGAGCAAAUACAGCAACACAGAAAUUCAUAAAGAGGACCUCCAGCUGGGAAUCCCUCCUUCCUUCAUGAGGUUUCAGCCCCGCCAGCGGGAGGAGAUUCUGGAAUGGGAGUUUCUGACUGGAAAAUACUUGUAUUCGGCAGUUGACGGCCAGCCCCCUCGAAGAGGAAUGGACU